GUGAACUGCAAGAGUUCGCCAAUCAUGCAUUUAGUCUUCGGUGCAUCCUGGAAUGUCUCACAUCAGGUGGGGUUCCAGCUGAAGAAAUAGAAAAGACUGGCAUUAUGUCUUCAAGAAGUGAGGAUGCUAAUUCAAUGUCAAAGGAUAUUUCAUUUUCUGAAAAUUCAGGGGAUGCCCCUAAAGAUAUAUCUGAGCUAAAUAAUGAAGAUUUGCUAAAUUCUGAAACACCCAAAUUGUCUAAGGAUGAAGAAACUCUAUCAGGAAAAAG
rnacentral:misc_RNA from 1 species